UUUUUUACUUCUCUUUCUCUUCGAAAUCGUUUUCUUUUUUCUCUCCAAAACGGCGAAAGCUUCGUGGUCACCAUCUUCGCCGACUAAAAGCUACAAGGUGAGAGAGAAGUCCAUUUCUGUCACCGGAGAGGGAAGAAAUUAAAUGGCGGUGAUGUUAAUCGGAAGAGCUUUUAAAUCGGUUAGAAACUCUUCUAAUCUGGUCGUUCGUGCUCGAUCCUUGUGUACGACAUCCGCCGCUCGUCAACCCGAUUCCGAUACUCAGCCAUCAGAAUCUUCUUCGUCUUCGUCGUUCACGUUCGAGAAAGAAAUUGAGAAACCCGUCUUAGUUCUGUAUCGAUGAUAGAUGCUAAGAAGGAGAAGCAUCAGAUGUAAUGGGAACUGCUGAAUGGAGAGCCAUGAAGAGUCCAUCUUACUACAAGCGUGGUGAUUAUGUUCCUGGACUCAAGAACGAAACUUUCAAUGGACAUUACAAGAAAGCCCGAAGGUUUUGGUUUUAAAACUGCAGGGAUUUGAUUUUUAAAACUACAGGUUUUGGUUUUGGAAACUGCAGUUUCUGUUUUGAAUACUUUCAGGUUUUGGAUUCACUGGUGUUUUCAGGCUGCCUCUAGUUGAUGGUUGCAGAUUGUUGGACCGUUUAGUUUCAGAGUGGAGUCUGGAAUUCAGAUUGAUCUGAAGAAUGGAGCUAACCCCGCGACUGUAGAUAAGAUAGUAUUUGCUAUGGAAUAUGCUAUUCAAGUGCUUGCUUCUGCCAAGGCUGUUGCUUGGUUCUCCCACAACAGAAAGAAUUCAUGGUUGAGCUUCGUUUCUUUGAGAUAUAGUAUCAGGACUUUCCACUCAAAAUGUCUAGCUUGAUCCUAUGAAGAUUGUAGUCGUCUUGCAGAGAAGUAAAUAGACAAUGUUUGAUUUUUUUUUCAGUUUCUUAUGUUAAACAGAAGAAUGAUUUAAUAGAAGGGAAGUUUACAUCUUACAUUA